rnacentral:misc_RNA from 1 species
UUUCCGUAGGUGAACCUGUGGAAGGAUCAUUGACACACAUCUGACAUACACCGCGAACCGUGGACGUACUGCGAGGGGCCGCGCCUGAGGCGCGGUUGCCCGUGCCUCACCCCCGUGCCUGAGCCGGGAGGGAGUGGGCGAGGUGCCUGGCCGGGGCCGCCCGUCGGCCGUACGGUGGGGUGCCAGGAGAGAGACGCCUCCCCCCACCUCCAUCGUGAGGGCGUCCCCUCUCCUCCGUGCCUCUUGGGGCACGGGGCCGCUCGAUAAACCUUCCGCCUCCCCCCGCUCGCGGGUGGGGUGCGCGAGGCGCACACAGAACAACCGACGCCGGACUGAGAUGCCUCCCUCCGGAAGGAUCUAAAUACAUAGCAACGACUCUCAGCAACGGAUAUCUUGGCUCUU